rnacentral:rRNA from 1 species
UACGUAGGGUGCAAGCGUUGUCCGGAAUUAUUGGGCGUAAAGAGCUCGUAGGCGGUCUGUCGCGUCGGCUGUGAAAACCCGAGGCUCAACCUCGGGCCUGCAGUGGGUACGGGCAGACUAGAGAGCGGUAGGGGAGAAUGGAACUCCUGGUGUAGCGGUGGAAUGCGCAGAUAUCAGGAAGAACACCGAUGGCGAAGGCAGUUCUCUGGGCCGUAACUGACGCUGAGGAGCGAAAGCGUGGGGAGCGAACAGG